UACAGAGGUGGCAAGCGUUGUUCGGAAUUACUGGGCGUAACGGGCGCGUAGGCGGUUCGUUAAGUCCUGUGUGAAAUCCCCCGGCUCAACUGGGGAACUGCACAGGAAACUAGCGGGCUUGAGUUCGGGAGAGGGAAGCGGAAUUCCGGGUGUAGCGGUGAAAUGCGUAGAUAUCCGGAGGAACACCGGUGGCGAAGGCGGCUUCCUGGACCGACACUGACGCUGAGGCGCGAAAGCUAGGGGAGCAAACGGG
rnacentral:rRNA from 1 species